rnacentral:rRNA from 1 species
UGCAGUCGAACGAUGAGCCUUUCGGGGUGGAUUAGUGGCGAACGGGUGAGUAACACGUGGGCAAUCUGCCCUUCACUCUGGGACAAGCCCUGGAAACGGGGUCUAAUACCGGAUAACACCUACCACCGCAUGGUGGGGGGUUGAAAGCUCCGGCGGUGAAGGAUGAGCCCGCGGCCUAUCAGCUUGUUGGUGGGGUGAUGGCCUACCAAGGCGACGACGGGUAGCCGGCCUGAGAGGGCGACCGGCCACACUGGGACUGAGACACGGCCCAGACUCCUACGGGAGGCAGCAGUGGGGAAUAUUGCACAAUGGGCGAAAGCCUGAUGCAGCGACGCCGCGUGAGGGAUGACGGCCUUCGGGUUGUAAACCUCUUUCAGCAGGGAAGAAGCGAAAGUGACGGUACCUGCAGAAGAAGCGCCGGCUAACUACGUGCCAGCAGCCGCGGUAAUACGUAGGGCGCAAGCGUUGUCCGGAAUUAUUGGGCGUAAAGAGCUCGUAGGCGGCUUGUCGCGUCGGAUGUGAAAGCCCGGGGCUUAACCCCGGGUCUGCAUUCGAUACGGGCAGGCUAGAGUGUGGUAGGGGAGAUCGGAAUUCCUGGUGUAGCGGUGAAAUGCGCAGAUAUCAGGAGGAACACCGGUGGCGAAGGCGGAUCUCUGGGCCAUUACUGACGCUGAGGAGCGAAAGCGUGGGGAGCGAACAGGAUUAGAUACCCUGGUAGUCCACGCCGUAAACGUUGGGAACUAGGUGUUGGCGACAUUCCACGUCGUCGUGCCGCAGCUAACGCAUUAAGUUCCCCGCCUGGGGAGUACGCGCAAGCUAAAACUCAAAGGAUUGACGGGGCCCGCACAAGCAGCGGAGCAUGUGGCUUAAUUCGACGCAACGCGAAGACC